GAUGAACGCUGGCGGCGUGCUUAACACAUGCAAGUCGAACGAAGUGGCGGAUGGGUGAGUAACCCGUGAGGAACCUGCCUUUCACAGGGGAAUAAUACUGGGAAACCAGUGCUAAUACCGCAUAGUGAAAGAUGGCUUCGCGCCUUAGUAGCUAGUGGGUGAGGUAACGGCUCGCCUAUGUGAUGAGCAGUAGCCCGACGGAAGGGUGAUCGGCCACAUUGGGACUGAGACACGGCCCAGACUCCUACGGGAGGGAGGAGUGGGGAAUAUUGGGCAAUGGCGCGAGCCUGACCCAGCAACGCCGCGUGAAGGAAGACGGUCUUCGGAUUGUAAACUUCUUUAGACAGAGACGCGGUACCUGUAGAAUAAGCCACGGCUAACUACGUGCCAGCAGCCGCGGUAAUUC
rnacentral:rRNA from 1 species